rnacentral:tRNA from 1 species
CUUCGGCUAGCUAUCGGAUCGUUUUAGAAACAUCAGUGGCCAACGGUCGUCAGGAUCGUUGAGCUGCAUUGGCGGGAUUUCGCCGUCUUCGUUUCUCUUUCUUCGCGGACGAACACGCGCUGGGGCUGCAACCUUGCAGAAUCCCUGGUCCUUGACUGGAUAUGCGUUAGGGGCUUGUAGCUCAGUUGGUUAGAGCGCGCGCUUGAUAAGCGUGAGGUCGGAAGUUCAAGUCUUCCCAGGCCCACCACACUCAUCGAGUGAGCAUUCGUCUUCUGGUUACGGGGCCAUAGCUCAGCUGGGAGAGCGCGUGCUUUGCAAGCAUGAGGUCGUCGGUUCGAUCCCGUCUGGCUCCACCAGAUGGUUUGAUCAUCGACUGAUCGUGCACCUGAAAUCGUCCGCGAAACAUCACUUCGCACCCACUAGUCCGGAUGGACGGUGACGUGCGUGAUUUCUGACAUCGUAAAGAGGAGAUCGAUCCGAGUUGGAUCGUGCAGCAAGCAAUUGCUACGCGAUACUUCAUUAUCUCCGGAUCAUUUCGGCGCUCGUGCGUCUUCCAAGGUAGCUCACAAGGCUGCAUUGAAAGACAGGCGAGUUGUAAAUGAUCCUUUUAGCGAAGCUUGACCGCCUCGCUAUCGGAACGAUCUUACGAAGCAAGCUGGUCUUUCUAAUCAUUGUCCGGCUGCAGAUAGCGUUCGUCGAGGGCGCGUGCCGCAAGGCAGUUCUGCAGACAACAUUCUGCCGAGUGUGUGGACAUUGAUAAUGAGAGCAAUCAAGUGCCUAA